rnacentral:rRNA from 1 species
CCUACGGGUGGCAGCAGUGAGGAAUAUUGGUCAAUGGACGAGAGUCUGAACCAGCCACGUAGCGUGAAGGAUGACUGCCCUAUGGGUUGUAAACUUCUUUUAUAUGGGAAUAAAAUGUUCCAAGUGUGGGAUUUUGUAUGUACCAUAUGAAUAAGGAUCGGCUAACCCCGUGCCAGCAGCCGCGGUAAUACGGAGGGUCCGAGCGUUAUCCGGAUUUAUUGGGUUUAAAGGGAGCGUAGGUGGAUUGUUAAGUCAGUUGUGAAAGUUUGCGGCUCAACCGUAAAAUUGCAGUUGAAACUGGCAGUCUUGAGUACAGUAGAGGUGGGCGGAAUUCGUGGUGUAGCGGUGAAAUGCUUAGAUAUCACGAAGAACUCCGAUUGCGAAGGCAGUUCACUGGACUGCAACUGACACUGAGGCUCGAAAGUGUGGGUAUCAAACAGGAUUAGAUACCCUAGUAGUC